ACGAACGCUGGCGGCGUGCUUAACACAUGCCAGUCGAACGGAAAGGCCCUGCUUUUGUGGGGUGCUCGCGUGGCGAACGGGUGAGUAACACGUGAGUAACCUGCCCUUGACUUUGGGAUAACUUCAGGAAACUGGGGCUAAUACCGGAUAGGAGCUCCUGCUGCAUGGUGGGGGUUGGAAAGUUUCGGCGGUUGGGGAUGGACUCGCGGCUUAUCAGCUUGUUGGUGGGGUAGUGGCUUACCAAGGCUUUGACGGGUAGCCGGCCUGAGAGGGUGACCGGCCACAUUGGGACUGGGAUACGGCCCAGACUCCUACGGGAGGCAGCAGUGGGGAAUAUUGCACAAUGGGCGGAAGCCUGAUGCAGCAACGCCGCGUGCGGGAUGACGGCCUUCGGGUUGUAAACCGCUUUCGCCUGUGACGAAGCGUGAGUGACGGUAAUGGGUAAAGAAGCACCGGCUAACUACGUG
rnacentral:rRNA from 1 species